ensembl:snoRNA
AAGACUAUACUUUCAGGGAUCAUUUCUAUAGUUUCUGACUUGAGAAAUGUGUUUCUAAAGUGUGUGGUCUCGCUAACCACGAUGAAGAGUUAUUGAUACUCCCUUCUGAGCGUGAAGUGGGCAGAGAGACUUGAUUUAGUUCAUAUGCUCUCUGCUUUUGAUGACUGUUCACUGUCUUCUCUGGGGGCACUGAGGAAGGGGGUAUGAUCAGAGUGGUA